rnacentral:lncRNA from 1 species
AACUAAUUUGUAGUAAAUUUAUUACUGUUGCAUGUUAUAGUAUUAACACAUCAUAUAGCAUAACAAUUCUAUAACAUUCAUUCAUCAGUAUUACAUAUAUUCAUAACGUUUAUCAUAAAGGUAACAUAUAUGUGCAACACUUCAUAUGCAUGAUUCUGAUUGGCUGAUUCAAAUCUACAAGGGAGAUAAACGAUGAUAAUAAAACAUGAUUUUCACAAUCUGAAAUGAAAAAUGGUCUAAAAUCAGGUGCCUAUUUAACUUCUAACUAUUAGUGCUCAUUCAUGCAUAAAAUAAAUGAAUUGAUGGGAUCUUUGUAGCAGAGUUUUUCCUUGUUGCACAAAAUUAACUAGAAUUAGACACCUGGCCAAAAUCACAUUUUUAGUGGAAGCACACAAUUACCCAAUUUGCAGACGUGAAAUGAAUUUUUUUAGUAGAAUAUAGUUAUAUACUCCAAUUAAAUACUGGUAUAUUUGAAAUCAUAGGAACAAAACUUUCAAUAAAUAAGCAUUUGCAUAUAUGUAAAUUAAUACAGCAACUCCAAAACUCAAAAUUCAAAAGCUACAAGCAUUCCUUAUCUUUGAAGUAAUUGGAUGUCCCCCCCCCCCCAAAAAAAAAAAUAAAAUAAUUAAGAACCAAUGGUAAGCUUAAAACUAUUCUAUGGCAUCAUCUAUAAAUAUUUUUGAAAGCACUCUUGCAGAAAGAACAUUUAAAAUUUGCAUCACAAAAUUCUCGAAGUAUUCCUGUCAAUUGUCAACCCUCACCCAAAAAUAUUCAUUUAUUUUUUAUUUUUUAGAAAAAAAAUAUACAGCUAAGAAAAGUUUACUAAAACAAGAAAGAGAACUGAUACCGCAUAUAGAAAAACAUUUAGUCUCUCAAGGACUAUAAUCAACCAAAUUGGAAAUAUAAAAUAAAUUAUAAAUU